rnacentral:rRNA from 1 species
CUUUCUGGGGGAAGUGGCGAAAGGGGCAGUAAGGCGUGGGUAACCUACCCCGGGGACCGGGAUAGCCCCUCUAACGAGGGGGUAAUACCGGGCGAUCCAGUCCGUGGGCAUCCUUGGACUGGGAAAUGAAUUUCGCCUCGGGAGGGGCUCACGUGCUAUUACCUAGUUGGCGGGGUGACGGCCCACCAAGGGGAAGAUGGCUAGCGGGUGUGAGAGCACGACCCGCGCCACUGGCACUGCGACACCGGCCAGACUCCUACGGGAGGCUGCAGUCGAGGAUCUUCGGCAAUGGGCGCAAGCCUGACCGAGCGACGCCGCGUGCGCGAUGAAGGCCUUCGGGUUGUAAAGCGCUGUCGAGGGGGAGGAAGCCGCAAGGUUGACCUAUCCCUGGAGGAAGCACGGGCUAAGUUCGUGCCAGCAGCCGCGGUAAGACGAACCGUGCGAACGUUGUUCGGAAUCACUGGGCU